rnacentral:rRNA from 1 species
CGCUCCCUCUGGCGGCAGGCUUAACACAUGCAAGUCGAGCGGGCACUUUCGGGUGUCCGCGGCGGACGGGUGAGUAACGCGUGGGAACGUGCCCUCUGGUUCGGAAUAACUCAGGGAAACUUGAGCUAAUACCGGAUACGCCCUUUUGGGGAAAGGCUUGCUGCCGGAGGAUCGGCCCGCGUCUGAUUAGCUAGUUGGUGAGGUAACGGCUCACCAAGGCGACGAUCAGUAGCUGGUCUGAGAGGAUGAUCAGCCACACUGGGACUGAGACACGGCCCAGACUCCUACGGGAGGCAGCAGUGGGGAAUAUUGGACAAUGGGCGCAAGCCUGAUCCAGCCAUGCCGCGUGAGUGAUGAAGGCCUUAGGGUUGUAAAGCUCUUUUAUCCGGGACGAUAAUGACGGUACCGGAGGAAUAAGCCCCGGCUAACUUCGUG